AUGAGUGAGCCAGAACUGUUGUUGGAUUCCAAUAUUCGAUUAUGGGUGGUGCUUCCCAUAGUCUUCAUCACCUUCUUUGUGGGGAUGAUUCGUCACUAUGUAUCCAUCCUUCUCCAGAGUGAUAAAAAGCUUACUCAGGAACAAGUGUCUGACAGCCAAGUUCUCAUUCGAAGUAGAGUCCUCAGAGAAAAUGGAAAAUACAUUCCAAAGCAGUCAUUUCUGACACGGAAGUAUUAUUUCAAUAAUCCCGAUGAUGGGUUCUUUAAGAAAACUAAAAGAAAGGUAGUGCCUCCUUCCCCAAUGACAGAUCCUACCAUGCUGACAGAUAUGAUGAAGGGGAAUGUAACAAAUGUAUUACCUAUGAUUUUAAUUGGUGGUUGGAUCAACAUGACCUUCUCAGGCUUUGUCACAACAAAAGUCCCCUUUCCUCUGACGUUGCGUUUUAAACCAAUGCUACAACAGGGUAUUGAAUUGCUUACUUUGGAUGCAUCUUGGGUAAGCUCAGCUUCUUGGUAUUUUCUAAAUGUCUUUGGACUUAGAAGCAUUUAUACCCUCAUUCUUGGCCAAGAUAAUGCUGCUGAUCAGUCCAGAGUAAUGCAGGAGCAGAUGACAGGAGCAGCCAUGGCCAUGCCUGCAGAUACUAAUAAAGCAUUCAAGACAGAAUGGGAGGCUUUAGAACUGACUGACCAUCAGUGGGCGCUGGAGGAUGUUGAGGAAGAACUCAUGGCUAAAGAUCUCCACUUUGAAGGCAUGUUUAAGGAAGAAUUGCAGACAUCCAUGUUCUGAGGACCUUCAUUUGAGUGGCAGGUAACAAGGAGUCAAUUGCAGCAGACGCCAAUGAUCAAGUUAGAAACCAAGCUAUAGGAGGAGAAGAAACUGCUGAAGAUGGCUGGGGGCAAUACACGAAAUCCCAUUAUCUGUUGAUAAGAUACAAAUCUGUCUAAGCAACCUGCUUGUGAUGAUAUCAUCAAAAUGUGAAGGAUGCCUAAUCUACAUUAAGGGUCUUAUAAACCAGUGCCCCUUCUAAUCCAAGUUUAGGAUCCACCAGACCUGUUUAUCAAGGUUUCCCAAUUGCAAGACCACUACAAGAUAAAAGAGCAAUUGCACAAACCCUUUUUAGCAAGAAAGUCAUAGGCUGAAUAGAAAGCCUCCCAGAUAAGAGUCUGGUGCCCCUCCUUUCCCUGUGGAAGGUUUCAACUGUCACGGAAUCUUUGCUUCUACUAGAACUUUCCCCCAAGAUGGGACUUGCUGCUUUCCAAUGACAAUUUAUUAUUAAUAAAUAUUAAUUACAUAUUACUUAUUUAGUUAAUAAAGGGAUUAUUUUCUUAUUUGAAUCUGAUAAACCUAAUCAGGACUGAUCUGGAUGAAUAUUAAAAGGAAAUAUUGUUUAUAGUUUGUCCCAGUGCUCCAGAAAUUACUGCAUACUUCAGACAAUCAUUUUCAUUAGUCAUUUUUUCUCCAUAAAUGGCCCAUUAGAUGACGGUUUUUAAACUGUAAAAAGAUUGUCGAAUCUUCCUAGGAAGUGAGAUAAGUAGACUUAAGCUAAUCUAAAAUUCUUAGUAAGAUUAAUUUCCAAGAAAUAGAGUAUGAAAAUCGUCCCUUAAAGGCUAAGAAAUGAUGUAUGAAUUUACAAUUCUAGCUUUAUAAGUUACUGGUAUGUGAAUACAUAAACACAGCACCCAGGUUACUACUAUAUUCCAAGUUAACAGAAAAAAGCUGCUGUACCUUUGGUAUUGUUUGAUAGCGGCAUUAUUAUUCAAUCAGGUAAUGAGUCAUAUCCUAGGAUAUGCUAGAAACCCUCAUUCUCCACACAGAAAUACCAAAGAGUACAUACUUUGUGCAAUCCGUUCCUCUUUAUUUUAUUCUUUACCUUUACACAGUAAAACAAUCCAGUGCUAGUCUAAAAGUGAUUUUGAUACUAUACAGAAUGUACACACCAGUUAGGUUUCAACGUGGUCAGAGGCAAAUCAAGAUUUCUAAUACCAUUUGUACAGCAUUUAGAAGAAACUUACUUUGGUGUACUUACUCUCUGAUCAUACUUAAAAACAGUGAAGAUUUUUGCUUCAAUAUGCAACAGAAAUAUAUAUUUAAUUAUAAAAUGCUUUUUGCAUUUAAAUAUUUAUUUCACUCUCUCCAAAUGUUACAUUUAAAAGAAAUUAUAACCCAGAAAAACGGAAAAAAGCAAAACCAUAAAAUAUGAUUUGACAUUAAGCAUUUAAAUAAUUCCAAGCUUUUUUCUCUGCCCCAUAUGUGCAAGAAAAAAUAUGCAGUUGAGAUAAAACCUCAAACCAGUUUAAAAAUCUAGAAGCAUUGGCAACUCAACCAAAUAAUUUCAGUGCUUUAGAAGAAUCAGCUGCAGAUCUAUAUAGUAAUCAUUAGAAGAUUGUCAGUGAACAGAAUAUAGCUGACAACAGUGACUGCUAAAAUCUACAGAGAAUGCUUGAUCACAUCUAAUAAAUUCUGCUAAAAUAAUGUUGGAUCACUGGUGUCUAUAGCCUGUGGGACUUCAGACAAAGAUCUACAUAAAAUUUGUGAAAGAAAUGAUUCUCAGAGUUUUGAACGAAUUCUUGGAACAUACUGUCAACAGCAAAAGGAAGUAAUUUAAUGAUGUAUUAAUAUGAUUUCAAAGCCAUUUCCAUUAAUAACAAAUCCCUUCAUUAUGAUGUGUCAUUUCUGGGGAGUAUUCAAAACUCUUAGUUUAUAUAGGUAAGCUACUACCGAAGUACAUUAGGGCUUAGUGAGAAGGAUACGGAUUAAAAAAAGAACAGCAAGAUCAUUUUUCUUUGGUAACUUUUAGUUCAUGUGGAAAUGGCUAAACAGAAGGGAAAUUACUCAAAUAAAUAGGAAUAAAAUACCUGGGAAGAAAAUGAAUGGGUUGAAACACAUCCAAAGUAAUUGGAUAUUACUGUGUGGCCUUCUUAAGAGAAAAGGAUUAAGACCUUUAUACGGUGCUGAUAAUUGCAUAAAUGUGAAGAAAAGGUGUCAAAUGAGCAUAAAGAAUUGCUACCAGAUGAAUAUGAAGAAAAAGGGUUUCUGAACAUUGCUACAGGAAAGAAAUACUAUCUGUCUGUUACUUCUAAAGGAUUGCUUUACUAUCAUUGAUCCUGAAAGCAUGGAAACUAUUUUUGAAAUACCUCUUAGGUAAUUUUUGAAUGGGAGACUUUGGGCCAGGAAAAAUACUUUCUCAAAAAAAAAAAAAAA